ensembl:misc_RNA Y_RNA Y RNA
GGAUGGUCCAAGUGCAGUGGUGUUUACAACUAACUGAUCACAACCAGUUACAGACUUCUUUGUUUUUUCCACUCGCACUGCUUCAUCUGACUAGCCUUAA